rnacentral:rRNA from 1 species
UACACUCCUGCGGGAGGCAGCAGUGGGGAAUUUUGGACAAUGGGCGAAAGCCUGAUCCAGCAAUGCCGCGUGAGUGAAGAAGGCCUUCGGGUUGUAAAGCUCUUUUGUCAGGGAAGAAACGGUGAGAGCUAAUAUCUCUUGCUAAUGACGGUACCUGAAGAAUAAGCACCGGCUAACUACGUGCCAGCAGCCGCGGUAAUACGUAGGGUGCAAGCGUUAAUCGGAAUUACUGGGCGUAAAGCGUGCGCAGGCGGUUUUGUAAGUCUGAUGUGAAAUCCCCGGGCUCAACCUGGGAAUUGCAUUGGAGACUGCAAGGCUAGAAUCUGGCAGAGGGGGGUAGAAUUCCACGUGUAGCAGUGAAAUGCGUAGAUAUGUGGAGGAACACCGAUGGCGAAGGCAGCCCCCUGGGUCAAGAUUGACGCUCAUGCACGAAAGCGUGGGGAGCAAACAGGAUUAGAAACCCUGGUAGUCCCAUGA